rnacentral:rRNA from 1 species
GUUGUAUGGUUAAGUGACUAAGCGUAUACGGUGGAUGCCUUGGCAGUUAGAGGCGAUGAAGGACGUGUAAGUCUGCGAAAAGCUGUGGUGAGCUGACAAAACGCAUUUGAGCCACAGAUGUCCGAAUGGGGAAACCCACCUGUACCUCUAACCUACUUUAACGUUGUCGUUUACGACAACGGUCAAAGCCAACUAUGACAAAAUGCAUAGUGGUAAGAGGUAAGUUAGAGGUACAGGUAUCGUUGCAUGAAUACAUAGUGUAACGAGGCGAACGAGGGGAACUGAAACAUCUAAGUACCCUUAGGAAAAGAAAUCAAUUGAGAUUCCCCUAGUAGCGGCGAGCGAACGGGGAACAGCCCUUAAGCUGUAUAGAAUUUAGUGGAAUCCUUUGGGAAGAGGAGCGAUACAAGGUGAUAGCCCUGUACACGAAGAAAUCUUUACAGUGAAAUCGAGUAGGUCGGGACACGUGUUAUCUUGACUGAAUAUGGGGGGACCAUCCUCCAAGGCUAAAUACUCCUAACUGACCGAUAGUGAACCAGUACCGUGAGGGAAAGGCGAAAAGAACCCCUGUGAGGGGAGUGAAAUAGAACCUGAAACCGUAUACGUACAAGCAGUGGGAGCACCUUCGUGGUGUGACUGCGUACCUUUUGUAUAAUGGGUCAGCGACUUAUAUUUGGUAGCGAGGUUAAGCGAAUAGCGGAGCCGUAGCGAAAGCGAGUGUUAACUGCGCGAAUUAGUUGCCAGGUAUAGACCCGAAAC